rnacentral:rRNA from 1 species
UACGAAGGGGGCUAGCGUUGCUCGGAAUCACUGGGCGUAAAGGGUGCGUAGGCGGGUCUUUUAAGUCAGGGGUGAAAUCCUGGAGCUCAACUCCAGAACUGCCUUUGAUACUGAGGAUCUCGAGUCCGGGAGAGGUGAGUGGAACUCCGAGUGUAGAGGUGAAAUUCGUAGAUAUUCGGAAGAACACCAGUGGCGAAGGCGGCUCACUGGCCCGGUACUGACGCUGAGGUGCGAAAGCGUGGGGAGCAAACAGGG